UGCUACAUUAUUGGGAAAGAUGCUGAUACC
rnacentral:piRNA from 1 species